GGGCCCAUAGCUCAGUUGGUAGAGCACUUCUAUGGCAUAGAAGGGGUCAGGAGUUCGAGUCUCCUUGGGUCCACCA
rnacentral:tRNA from 1 species